ensembl:lncRNA
GAGAAGGGAGGGGUGUUUGGCUGUGAUCUGGGAGAGCAUCUUCUCCACUCUGGCCGUGAUGGUAAGGAACAGCCCAUUCCUGAGAGCUUCCUCUGUUGGGCAUGUAAAGAUGAAAGGGAGAUCAUCUCUGGCAAGGGGCAGGUUGAUAGCGGUGGAGAAACGUGAAAUGGGAGUUGAUGGCUGAAAGGGAAGCUGAGGCUAAUGCUCAGAGGAGAGCAGCACACCUGUAUUUGCUUAAAGCCAAAGGUGUAAGCCAAUGCCACGCUAGCCUGAAAACCAAGGAAGCCUUUUGGCCCAAGAGAGUGUAGUGCGUCAGUUUCCUAGCUCUUCUGGACAUGAGGUCUCACGCCUCCAUUGCGGUGGGAGCUGUGAUGGGACUUGUGGCGGUGUCUCUGGCUUCUCCAGAAUUACUUUCUGCAGGCUGCUUGGCAGGUCCUGGCAUUUCUUGAAAGCCAAGAACACGUCUGUGUUCAGUUUUGUCCCCGUCUCCUGGCUGUCAGAGACGUCUGCUACAGCCUUCUUUCUCCUGUGAGGAGGAAGCAUGCAGUAGCCCGGCUGGGCUUAGUGGAUGGGAUGUGACAGGGGCAGCGGCUGAAGCAGGACUUGAAUCAGG